AUUCGCGAAUGCGGCGCCAAAGCGCAGUAUCCCAGCGCGUUUGCCCGGAUUCUGGAACAGGCGCGGCUUGUGCUUGCGGCCCCAGGGCUCCCAGCAGGGCAGCGCUCGCCACACAAAGCGACCAGGAGUGGGAGCGUAGGCUCCGAAGCAGCGCAGCAACUGCAUGCUGACGUUGCUCUGCGAGGAGAAUGCCGCUUCCUCGGGUCGGCGCAGAGACGAAUCCUUGCCGCUUCUCCGCGAGGAACGGGAGAUGCUCGGCUGAGCUGCGUCGUAUUUUGCCUAAAAGAAGGAUGGCGAGCAGGUACGCAGUAUCGGCCUCGGUACCGGAGAGCGGCAGAGCGACCACUUGAAGAAGCGUGGGUACCAGGCGCCCUUGCGUCGUCAUGGUUGCGGGGAACGACGACACGAGCAGCAGUCUCCGUAGAGCGAUUUCAAGGAGCUUGAAUAUUUCUUGAAAAGCUCUGCCAGUCCUCAGCGUCUCCGUGAGUAAAGCGAGAAACUUUUCCAAUGCUGUGGCAGGUAUGGUAGUGUUCGUAGACGAGACGCCCAACGAGCGUCCGACGCCCGAAUCAUUAUCGGAAGUUUGCUUCCGUUUUUCCUUCGAGGACGUCGAGGUUGUCUUGUGUUGUGCUUCCGUCUUGUCGUGUUUCGCAUUCAUGCUUGUCGACGCGUGGCAGCCACCACGCUGCCAUAUGGCAUACGGAUCACCGAGACGCUCCAUGGCUCGCUGAUGCAAACGCAGCAGGGGUGCUAUCACCGUUCGGAAGCGGGACCAGUCCGUGCAUUCGGUGAGGCGCUGUACGCCGGCGCUCUUCGGAACAGACGCGAUUGCUGGUGCCGACUCGUUCUCUCCAUGGAUGUCUGCGUGUCGGUAAGGUUGCUGACACCGCCCAGCGGGCGUUGGCCGCUCUCGCCGAGACGCCAGCUCGGUGACGCCUAAAUCGAGGUCGUCAUUACGGAUGGCAGCGCCACCAGGAUGAGCGACCUGGAACGCUCCGAGAUGAUCAAGAUUGGGGCUUGGACUUACGGGCACUCCAGGUGAAUGAUUUUGCGACUCGUGACUCCCAGUUGGUGAGGCUCCAAUCACUUCACCUGCAGCGGCUGCAUCGUCUGCGCCUGCCGAUGUUGAGGCUGCUCGGUGGCGGCGCUGCGCGACAGUGCCCGGUGUCGAGUCCGGCGAUAAGUCCGGGAUCUCGGCGACGUGAAGGAUCGGCCACAUGACGAUGGCGGUUUCAAUGGUCUGCAGCAGCCGAGUUAGGACGCCGCGAUCGGUCUCGUCGAGAGGCUGGUCCCCAACAUCUGCCGGUAUAUCGAGGUGGCUAAGGUCCAUGUAGCUCAGUCGGGCAACAAAAUCGUCGAAGCCUUCCAUAUCGUGUCCAAGCGCGAGUAGGCAAAGCAAACUCGCCGCAUCGUCGUCGAUCCAGUGCGAGCCUGGCCUCAAGGGAGACUCGAUCUCUGGCGCAGAGGGCUUCCAUGUUGCGGUGAAAAAUGUUCGAUAAAAAUGGGUUCGCAAGAU